CAGUCGCCACGGUAAUACGUAGGGCGCAAGCGUUAUCCGGAAUUAUUGGGCGUAAAGAGCUCGUAGGCGGUUUGUCGCGUCUGCCGUGAAAGUCCGGGGCUCAACCCCGGAUCUGCGGUGGGUACGGGCAGACUAGAGUGAUGUAGGGGAGACUGGAAUUCCUGGUGUAGCGGUGAAAUGCGCAGAUAUCAGGAGGAACACCGAUGGCGAAGGCAGGUCUCUGGGCAUUAACUGACGCUGAGGAGCGAAAGCAUGGGGAGCGAACAGGAUUAGAUACCCGAGUAGUCCCUGUCUCUUAUAC
rnacentral:rRNA from 1 species